rnacentral:rRNA from 1 species
AUCAACGCUGGCGGCGUGCCUAACACAUACAAGUCGAACGCGAAGGUCCGCAAGGACUGAGUAAAGUGGCAGUACGGGUGAGUAACACGUAGGUAACCUACCUCGAGCGGGGGAUACAUCCGGGAAACUGAGGCUAAUACCGCAUAACAUCCGGAGCUUUAAGUAAGUGGGAUCAAGCCGGGAUCGCAAGACCGGCCUCGAUGAGGGGCCUGCGCGCCCGAUUAGCUAGUUGGUGAGGUAACGGCCCACCAAGGCGAUCGAUCGGUAGCCGGCCUGAGAGGGCGGACGGUCCACACUGGGACUGAACACGGCCCAGACUCCUACGGGAGGCAGCAGUGGGGAAUUUUUCACAAUGCCGAAAGGCCUGAUGACAGCAACGCCGCGUGAGGGAUGAAGAGCUUCGGGUCGUAAACUCCUUUCGAUCGGAGACAAACGGGCGCCGCUGAAGCACCGGAGAGUUGACUGGUACCGGAUGAAGAAGCCCCGGCUAACUCCGUGCCAGCAGCCGCGGUAAUACGUAGGGGGCGAGCGUUGCUCGGAAUUACUGGGCGUAAAGGGCUCGUAGGCGGCCUAGCGGUAAGCAGGGACGUGAAAUUCCCCCGGCUUAACCUGGGGACGGUCGUUCUGAUAACUGCGAUGGCUAGGGUUGGGGAGAGGGCAGUGCGGAAUUCCAGGUGUAGCGGUGAAAUGCGUAGAUAUCGGGAGGAACACUGCGUGCGAAGGCGACUGCCUGGACCGUACACUGACGCUGAGUGAGCGAAAGCCAGGGAGCAAACAGGGAUUAGAUACCCCUGGUAGUCCUAGCCCUAAACGAUGAUGCAUUGGUGUGGCGGUAUCGAUCCGGGGCCGUGCCGGAGCUAACGCAUUAAGUGCAUUCCGCCUGGGGAGUACGGUCGCAAGGCUGAAACUCAAAGGAAUUGACGGGGGCCCGCACAAGCGGUGGAGCAUAUGGUUCAAUUCGACGCAACGCGAAGAACCUUACCCAGGCUUGAACAGCGAGUGACCAUUCCCGAAAGGGAACUUCCGCAAGGACACUCGUAGAGGUGCUGCGUGGCUGUCGUCAGCUCGUGUCGUGAGAUGUUGGGUUAAGUCCCGCAACGAGCGCAACCCUUGUUUGCUGUUGCCAUCAGGUUAUGCUGGGCACUCUGCAAAGACUGCCGGUGAUAACCGGAGGAAGGUGGGGAUGACGUCAAGUCAGCAUGGCCUUUAUGUCUGGGGCUACACACGUGCUACAAUGGCCGUACAAACCGUCGCGAUACCGUAAGGUGGAGCUAAUCGGAGAAAAGCCGGUCUCAGUUCGGAUAGCAGGCUGCAACUCGCCUGCUUGAAGUUGGAAUCGCUAGUAAUCGCGGAUCAGCACGCCGCGGUGAAUACGUUCCCGGGCCUUGUACACACCGCCCGUCACAUCACGAAAGCCGGUUGUACUAGAAGUCGCCACACCAACCCGCAAGGGAGGGAGGCGCCUAAGGUAUGGUCGGUGAUUGGGGUG